UCCGGUUUGACACCGGCAGUCCCGUUAGAGUGCCCAGCAUCACCUGAUGGCAACUAACGGCGAGGGUUGCGCUCGUUGCGGGACUUAACCCAACAUCUCACGACACGAGCUGACGACAGCCAUGCAGCACCUGUCUUCUGGGCCCCGAAGGGCACCCCAGUGUUUCCACCGGGUUCCAUCGAUGUCAAGUCUGGGUAAGGUUCUUCGCGUUGCGUCGAAUUAAACCACAUGCUCCACCGCUUGUGCGGGCCCCCGUCAAUUCCUUUGAGUUUCAUUCUUGCGAACGUACUCCCCAGGUGGUGUGCUUACUGCGUUAACUGCGUCACGGACCCGCACGGGCCCACAACUAGCACACAUCGUUUACAGCGUGGACUAC
rnacentral:misc_RNA from 1 species